CUGCCACUGAGGAUCAAUAUUUUUCUGGAGACUGCUCCUUGUGGUGUUUUACUGCAAGCCUAUGAUACUGGGGGGGGGAAAAAAAAACACCUGAGUGGACUGGAUGAAGACUUCCUUACUUUUAAGAUCAACAGUAGUGUGAAUCUAAAUCUUUUAAAGAACUUCUUACAAAAUCAUCCCUCUGGCACCUGUAGGGCCACUACAACAUGUACAUACCAGUCUGUACAAGUUGCUGGUCCAGGAGAGAGAGGACUUGAAUUUAGACUGAGUCAAUGCAAAUGUGCAACAACAUAGAAGUCCGAAGUCUGAGGCGCAAGUAUGCAGGGAGUCAGAGUGAAGCUGAAUUAACACAUCUGUCCAGAAAAACUGUCUUAGCUAUGCAGCAGUGCCACGUGGCUUCUCUGCCAGUGGGAGUAUCAUCUCUUUCUUGUAAAGGAAAGGGGUAAAUGUGAUUUCAUUAUGCCAAAAAUGCUUUUUUUUUUUUUAUUUGAGUGCUCCCAUUUUAUCUCUAUGGUGAAGCUCCUGAUGAUGGUGUAAAACUGAUAAGCAAUAAAUACUGGAAUUGAAGAAUACAUUACAGCAUACAGUUUUUCUUCCACAUGGACUUUAAGAAAGCAAAACUUGCUUUACAAUAUCUCUAGCCCUGU